CGGUGACCAUAGCGGAGAGGAAAUACCCGUUCCCGUUCCGAACACGGAAGUCAAGCUCUCUUGCGCCGAUGAUACUGCCUUAUGGUGGGAAAGUAGGAAGUUGC
rnacentral:rRNA from 1 species